rnacentral:rRNA from 1 species
GACGAACGCUGGCGGCGUGCUUAACACAUGCAAGUCGAACGAUGAAGCCGGAGCUUGCUCUGGUGAAUUAGUGGCGAACGGGUGAGUAACACGUGAGUAACCUGCCCUUGACUCUGGGGUAACUGCUAGAAAUGGUAGCUAAUACCGGAUACGACCCUCGGAGGCAUCUCCAGGGGGUGGAAAGAAUUUCGGUCAAGGAUGGACUCGCGGCCUAUCAGCUAAUUGGUGAGGUAACGGCUCACCAAGGCGACGACGGGUAGCCGGCCUGAGAGGGUGACCGGCCACACUGGGACUGAGACACGGCCCAGACUCCUACGGGAGGCAGCAGUGGGGAAUAUUGCACAAUGGGCGCAAGCCUGAUGCAGCAACGCCGCGUGAGGGAUGACGGCCUUCGGGUUGUAAACCUCUUUUAGUAGGGAAGAAGCGAAAGUGACGGUACCUGCAGAAAAAGCACCGGCUAACUACGUGCCAGCCGCCGCAGUAA